CAGGAGCUAGUUUAAAACAAAACAGUUGUUUUGGGGACAAUCAAUGCAAAUUUAACCUUGCGCACCUGA
rnacentral:tRNA from 1 species